AGACCCGAAACCCGGUGAUCUAGCCAUGGGCAGGUUGAAGGUUGGGUAACACUAACUGGAGGACCGAACCGACUAAUGUUGAAAAAUUAGCGGAUGACCUGUGGCUGGGGGUGAAAGGCCAAUCAAACCGGGAGAUAGCUGGUUCUCCCCGAAAGCUAUUUAGGUAGCGCCUCGUGAAUUCAUCUCCGGGGGUAGAGCACUGUUUCGGCUAGGGGGCCAUCCCGGCUUACCAACCCGAUGCAAACUGCGAAUACCGGAGAAUGUUAUCACGGGAGACACACGGCGGGUGCUAACGUCCGUCGUGAAGAGGGAAACAACCCAGACCGCCAGCUAAGGUCCCAAAGUCAUGGUUAAGUGGGAAACGAUGUGGGAAGGCCCAGACAGCCAGGAUGUUGGCUUAGAAGCAGCCAUCAUUUAAAGAAAGCGUAAUAGCUCACUGGUCGAGUCGGCCUGCGCGGAAGAUGUAACGGGGCUAAACCAUGCACCGAAGCUGCGGCAGCGAACGUAUCACCCAAGACAACUUUACGGAGUUGACGAUUGACGGAGCGAAGCGACGUCAAAGCGUUCAUUAAAGUCGAGUUGGCUUAGGGAUACGUUCGUUGGGUAGGGGAGCGUUCUGUAAGCCUGUGAAGGUGUGUCGUGAGGCAUGCUGGAGGUAUCAGAAGUGCGAAUGCUGACAUAAGUAACGAUAAAGCGGGUGAAAAGCCCGCUCGCCGGAAGACCAAGGGUUCCUGUCCAACGUUAAUCGGGGCAGGGUGAGUCGACCCCUAAGGCGAGGCCGAAAGGCGUAGUCGAUGGGAAACGGGUUAAUAUUCCCGUACUUGGUGUUACUGCGAAGGGGGGACGGAGAAGGCUAUGUUGGCCGGGCGACGGUUGUCCCGGUUUAAGCGUGUAGGUGUGUGUUCCAGGUAAAUCCGGUUCACUUUAACACUGAGGCGUGACGACGAGGCACUACGGUGCUGAAGCAACAAAUGCCCUGCUUCCAGGAAAAGCCUCUAAGCAUCAGGUAACACGAAAUCGUACCCCAAACCGACACAGGUGGUCAGGUAGAGAAUACCAAGGCGCUUGAGAGAACUCGGGUGAAGGAACUAGGCAAAAUGGUGCCGUAACUUCGGGAGAAGGCACGCUGACACGUAGGUGAAGUGAUUUACUCAUGGAGCUGAAGUCAGUCGAAGAUACCAGCUGGCUGCAACUGUUUAUUAAAAACACAGCACUGUGCAAACACGAAAGUGGACGUAUACGGUGUGACGCCUGCCCGGUGCCGGAAGGUUAAUUGAUGGGGUCAGCGUAAGCGAAGCUCCUGAUCGAAGCCCCGGUAAACGGCGGCCGUAACUAUAACGGUCCUAAGGUAGCGAAAUUCCUUGUCGGGUAAGUUCCGACCUGCACGAAUGGCGUAAUGAUGGCCAGGCUGUCUCCACCCGAGACUCAGUGAAAUUGAACUCGCUGUGAAGAUGCAGUGUACCCGCGGCAAGACGGAAAGACCCCGUGAACCUUUACUAUAGCUUGACACUGAACAUUGAGCCUUGAUGUGUAGGAUAGGUGGGAGGCUUUGAAGUGUGGACGCCAGUCUGCAUGGAGCCGACCUUGAAAUACCACCCUUUAAUGUUUGAUGUUCUAACGUGGACCCGUAAUCCGGGUUGCGGACAGUGUCUGGUGGGUAGUUUGACUGGGGCGGUCUCCUCCUAAAGAGUAACGGAGGAGCACGAAGGUUGGCUAAUCCUGGUCGGACAUCAGGAGGUUAGUGCAAUGGCAUAAGCCAGCUUGACUGCGAGCGUGACGGCGCGAGCAGGUGCGAAAGCAGGUCAUAGUGAUCCGGUGGUUCUGAAUGGAAGGGCCAUCGCUCAACGGAUAAAAGGUACUCCGGGGAUAACAGGCUGAUACCGCCCAAGAGUUCAUAUCGACGGCGGUGUUUGGCACCUCGAUGUCGGCUCAUCACAUCCUGGGGCUGAAGUAGGUCCCAAGGGUAUGGCUGUUCGCCAUUUAAAGUGGUACGCGAGCUGGGUUUAGAACGUCGUGAGACAGUUCGGUCCCUAUCUGCCGUGGGCGCUGGAGAACUGAGGGGGGCUGCUCCUAGUACGAGAGGACCGGAGUGGACGCAUCACUGGUGUUCGGGUUGUCAUGCCAAUGGCACUGCCCGGUAGCUAAAUGCGGAAGAGAUAAGUGCUGAAAGCAUCUAAGCACGAAACUUGCCCCGAGAUGAGUUCUCCCUGAGACUUAGAGUCUCCUGAAGGAACGUUGAAGACGACGACGUUGAUAGGCCGGGUGUGUAAGCGCAGCGAUGCGUUGAGCUAACCGGUACUAAUGAACCGUGAGGCUUAA
rnacentral:rRNA from 1 species